UGUAUCGGUGAUGAUAGUUUGGCUCCCUCUACUGAAUACUGUGAGGAUAUUGCCUACGUUACCCAUUUUCUGUCUGAGAUACA